CUCACCGCCAGCCUCCAUUCUCCUAAUUUUUUCUUUUCCCCUUUCUGUCAACUUUUUUCCCGUUCCACACCUGCAGCCGCAGCCGCACCCUCCUGACAAAAGCAGCCCACUGAAUCAAGCGACUGAAUUCCUUCCUUGGCCAGUAGCUCGCCUGAUUCUUGCCACCGUCACUGACUCACCAUACGUAGCAGCCACACGGAGCCACCUCGGUAGAGCCAGGGGCCUCUACCAUACCCCGAUUCACUGCAUUCUGCUGGAGGGCGUUUCUUCACCGGCCCACUCUGCGGCUUUGCCGCGGCGGUGGCAGCAGCAGAGUAAGCUAACUUAGACAGUGGGAGGAAAUUCUUGUUCGAGUCAAGGAUGGAAACAAAGUUGAAUUGGGGUUGAAAACAUGAAUUUGAAGAGUGUGUGAAGAGAUUUGGAAGAGCUGUUGAUGUUAUUGAAAUGGAGAAAGGCAUUGUCUUCUGCAAACGUCCACCAACUGUUUGUGAAUUUGACUUCAACGUUUUGCCUUGUUUCUCUCAAGGAAGAUGAAGAUAUACUUUGUUCUGUAUAGGUAGUUUUGAAUCGGCUUAAUUGCAAAAUGAGGUGUGGAAGUAUUAUUUAUUUGUUAUAUAUCCCCUACAGCUAUUAGUUGCUGCAUUUUAGUGCCUAAUAAAGAUCAAUUAGUUGCA